GACGAACGCUGGCGGCGUGCCUAAUACAUGCAAGUCGAACGCAGGGGGGACGGGUGAGUAACACGUGGGUGACCUCCCAUCAGAGGGGAUAACCCUUGGAAACAGGUGCUAAACCGAUACUGAUGGAUGGACCAGUGGUGCAUUAGCUAGUUGGUGGGGUAACGGCUCACCUAGGCCACGAUGCAUAGCUGACCUGAGAGGGUGAUCGGCCACACUGGGACUGAGACACGGCCCAGACUCCUACGGGAGGCAGCAGUGGGGAAUAUUCGGCAAUGGACGAAAGUCUGACCGAGCAAUGCCGCGUGAGUGAAGAAGGUUUUCGGUUCGUAAAGCUCUUUUGGUAGAGAGGCGGUAUCUACCCAGAAAGCCACGGCUAACUACGUGCCAGCCGCCGCGGUAAUUC
rnacentral:rRNA from 1 species